AUGUCGUCCGACGAGGGGGUCAGGGAGGAGGAGCCCGAUCUUUCCUCCAACGAAGUCAUCUACAAGUAUAAGGCCGCCGCCGAAAUCAUCAACAGUAAUCUCGCUCUGAAGUUUGUUGUGUUAGAGUGCAAGCCAGAUGCCAAAAUUGUUGAGAUGUGUGAGAAGGGUGACAACUUCAUAACAGAGCAAUGCCUUCAGUUUUGUGUCCUAUUGAUGGCUGUGGUGGCUCAUACACAUGUUAUCAAUGAUGGGCCAGUCAUCGGAAGUGCAGCUGAUGUUCUUGCUGCGGCAAACACAUCAGCCGAAGUGGCAUUGAGACUAGUUAGACCUGGAAAGAAGAACAAAGAUGUUGUCGAUGCAAUUCAGAAGGUUGCUGCUGCUUACGAUUGCAAAACUGUGGAAGGAAUUCUUAGCCAUCAGCUGAAUCAAUUUGUCAUUGAUGGUAACAAAGUGGUAUUUAGUGUUUCCAAUGUUGAUACGACGGUGAUCGAUGCUGAAUUUGUAGAAAAUGAAGUGUAUGUGAUUGAUAUUGUCACUAGCACUAGUGAGGGAAAGGUGAUAAUGAUAAUUGAUGUUAUUGGUUUCAUGAUAUUUUCCUUCCUUUUUGUUGAACUUUGUAAUUCAGAGCCAAAGUCAUUGUCUGAGAAAUAUACCACCAUCUAUAAGAGAGCUGUAGACAAGGACUAUCAGUUGAAGAUGAAAUCGUCAAACUACAUAUUCAGUGAGAUUCGCGAGAAGUUCACUUUCAUGCCAUUCACUCUUAGGGCAUUGGAAGAUAGGAAGCGACAAUUCUUAUCCUUGACAGAAUGCUGCAUUGAUGAACUCUUACAGCCGUACCCUGUUCUUUAUGAGAAGCAAGGCGAUCUUGUUGCGCACAUAAAGUUCACUGUGUUGCUGAUGGCAAAUGGAUCAGACAAGAUAACAUCACAUCAACUCAAAGGUGGUUUCCAAGGAUGUGCAAGCCCAGAACUAUUCUUGUGUUGA
rnacentral:rRNA from 1 species